rnacentral:lncRNA from 1 species
CUGAAAACUGACUUGAGCAUCGGAGUAUCUUUGCCAGAGUCAUCUUCGAUGUGGGCUUUUUCUUGUAGAUCUCUCUGCUGCCAUCGGAUGCCAUUGCCUAUCCUUUCCAUCCGAUCUGAGUUGAUCUUGCCUCUGUUCGUCGCACUGCGAGCCCUCGCUCCCAUUCUCAGCCCUCUCGACUGUGCCCUCUCUCCAGUGAGCAAUCCUUCUCCACAAGUUUUCUGCCGUUCCGCACUCAGGCACGAUGAUCUGACUACCCCAUCGGAGACGAGCCGCAACAUCUUGGCAUACCAGGAGGGGGAGAAGAAACAUCCUUCCAGGAAUUAUAAUGGCCAAGAUAAGAGUGCAAAAUACUUUCCUUAGUUUCGCUGGGCGCUCAUCGCGAUGUGAUGCAC